UACAGAGGGUGCGAGCGUUGUUCGGAAUUAUUUGGGGCGUAAAGGGCGCGUAGGCGGUGCGGUAAGUCACCUGUGAAAUCUCCUGGCUCAACUGGGAGCUUGCAGGCGAAACUGCCGUGCUGGAGUGUGGGAGAGGUGCGUUGGAAUUCCUGGUGUAGCGGUGAAAUGCGUAGAUAUCAGGAGGAACACCGGUGGCGAAGGCGGUUCUCUGGGCCUGUGCUGACGCUGGAGGAGCGAAAGCGUGGGGAGCGAACAGG
rnacentral:rRNA from 1 species